CAAGGUUUCCAGGGGAAGGUUCGUCCGCCCUGGGUUAGUCGGGACCUAAGCUGAGGCCGAAAGGCGUAGGUGAUGGACAACAGGUUGAUAUUCCUGUACUACCGAUAACCGUUUGAGAGAAGGGAUGACACAGUAGGAUAAGCUAAGCACACUGUUGGUUAUGUGUGCCCAAGCAUUGAGGCAGUCAAAGUAGGCAAAUCCGCUUUGAUAAUGCUGGGAUGUGAUGGGGAGCGAAAUUUAGUAGCGAAGUAGCUGAUUUCACACUGUCAAGAAAAGUCUCUAUCGAGGUUAAAGGUACCCGUACCGCAAACCGACACAGGUGGGUGAGGAGAGUAUCCUAAGGCCAGCGAGAGAACUGUUGUUAAGGAACUCGGCAAAAUGACCCCGUAACUUAGGGAUAAGGGGUGCCACCAUCAGGUGGCCGCAGAGAAUAGGCCCAAGCGACUGUUUACCAAAAACAUAGGUUUCUGCUAAGUCGCAAGACGAUGUAUAGGAGCUGACGCCUGCCCGGUGCUGGAAGGUUAAGGGGAUCUGUUAGAGCAAUCGAAGCAGUGAACUUAAGCCCCAGUAAACGGCGGCCGUAACUAUAACGGUCCUAAGGUAGCGAAAUUCCUUGUCGGGUAAGUUCCGACCCGCACGAAAGGCGUAACGAUUUGGGCACUGUCUCAACAACAGACUCGGUGAAAUUGUAAUUCCGGUGAAGAUGCCGGAUACCUGCGACAGGACGGAAAGACCCCAUGGAGCUUUACUGUAGCUUGACAUUGGGUCUUGGUACUACAUGUACAGGAUAGGUGGGAGGCUUUGAAACCAGGACGCCAGUUUUGGCGGAGCCAUCCUUGGGAUACCACCCUUGUAGUACUGGGACUCUAACCAUAGGCCAUGAAUCUGGUCUUGGGACACUGUCAGGUGGGCAGUUUGACUGGGGCGGUCGCCUCCCAAAAGGUAACGGAGGCGCUCAAAGGUUCUCUCAGUACGGUCGGAAAUCGUACGUAGAGUGUAAAGGCAAAAGAGAGCUUGAUUGCAAGACAUACAGGUCGAGCAAGGAUGAAAAUCGGACUUAGUGAUCCGGUGGUUCUGCGUGGAAGGGCCAUCGCUCAACGGAUAAAAGCUACCCUGGGGAUAACAGGCUUAUCUCCCCCAAGAGUCCACAUCGACGGGGAGGUUUGGCACCUCGAUGUCGGCUCAUCACAUCCUGGGGCUGUAGUAGGUCCCAAGGGUUGGGCUGUUCGCCCAUUAAAGUGGUACGCGAGCUGGGUUCAGAACGUCGUGAGACAGUUCGGUCCCUAUCCGUCGCAGGCGUAGGAAAUUUGAGAAGACCUGUCCUUAGUACGAGAGGACCGGGAUGGACGUACCUCUGGUGUACCAGUUGUCCUGCCAAGGGCAUGGCUGGGUAGCUAUGUACGGAAUGGAUAAGCGCUGAAAGCAUCUAAGCGCGAAGCCAACUUCAAGAUAAGAUUUCCCACCGCAAGGGUAAGACCCCAGAAAGACUAUCUGGUUGAUAGGUCGAAGGUGUAAGUGCAGCAAUGUAUUUAGCUUAUCGAUACUAAUAG
rnacentral:rRNA from 1 species